rnacentral:rRNA from 1 species
GAUCCUGGCUCAGAUUGAACGCUGGCGGCAUGCCUUACACAUGCAAGUCGAACGGUAACAGGUCUUCGGAUGCUGACGAGUGGCGAACGGGUGAGUAAUACAUCGGAACGUGCCCGAGAGUGGGGGAUAACGGAGCGAAAGCUUUGCUAAUACCGCAUACGAUCUACGGAUGAAAGCAGGGGACCGCAAGGCCUUGCGCUCAUGGAGCGGCCGAUGGCAGAUUAGGUAGUUGGUGGGAUAAAAGCUUACCAAGCCGACGAUCUGUAGCUGGUCUGAGAGGACGACCGGCCACACUGGGACUGAGACACGGCCCAGACUCCUACGGGAGGCAGCAGUGGGGAAUUUUGGACAAUGGGCGAAAGCCUGAUCCAGCCAUGCCGCGUGCAGGAUGAAGGCCUUCGGGUUGUAAACUGCUUUUGUACGGAACGAAAAGACUCUGGUUAAUACCUGGGGUCCAUGACGGUACCGUAAGAAUAAGCACCGGCUAACUACGUG